GACCUCGUUGAUAUAUGUAACUAUACUCCGUAUAUACGAUUGUUUUGUCAGCCGCGGCUCGUGCGAAACCGGAGCGGCCAGCGGGGGUUGCUCCGGCAUCACCCGCAGCAUGAUUAUGUAAUUAUAUCGGCGAUAGUGUUAGGUCUACAGUUAGUUAACUACCAGAUAGCAAACCCACUUCUGGUAGAGUAGCGACUCUAUCUACUGGGCCCUUCCUUCAAUUCACAAAACCGUCGAGCGUCAGAUGUCAGAUGUAGAGACGUUGGUCCACCGUCAAACUCGAAGAUUGAAUGUAUGUCCCCUAGGAGGAAGCUUGCUUCUUGGUCUCCCCUCCCAAUACAUGUCUUCUUUGGGGUUGUACUUUAGAGUGUAUGCAUCAUUGUGAGCUUCUCAAAGAUACAUAUCUUGAACAUUCCUUACGGAUCUCUGUUUUCUUUCGUUCAGAGAGUAGUAAUGUCAUUUUUUCACACCUACACUUUAAUAAUUUGAUAUAGCGUGCUGGCAUUCUUAAGUCUUUUUUCCUUCUUAGUUCGCCACAUCAACAGAUUCAAGAAACCGUCAUCGGGGUGGUCAGGGAUGGGGAACUACUACAGCUCGCUGAUAUCAAUCUCGCCAUGCUCAUAAUAUUGAAAGCUAGCUAGCACCCGGGGAGCUUGCAGAUGCUGAGGAGUCCAUUUUCGACGCUGAUUUCUAGGGAACCGCUGAGAUUUACUCCCCUGAAAUCGCACCGGCAAACUGAUAUUUCAUUUUUAGCGACAUGGCUGAAGUAAAUUAGCCCGUCAAGAAACUUGACCAUGCAUGCAAGUACACGGUAGGGAAGCAUAGUCCCAAUACGGAGUACUCAUAUCUCAAUAUCGAGCGUUUGGCGCGCAGAACCUGACAACCAACCGUUAGGCUACAGCCCCUAACUGGCACCAAAAUCUUUUGGGUAUGUAGUUAUAUAUAAGCUCGCUGCUCCCAGCGCCGCCCGGUGGAGGACUUUUUAUUUCUUUAUGAAUUUAUAGUCUUCUUCUCUUUACUGGACCUCCAUUCACUAAAAGCGAUACAUACUAACGGAAGUGAAUGAAUUGUUACAAUGAUUUCAAAAUAAUACAAUAAACAACAAACUCAGCCUGUUGCAUCUCAUGUCACCCCCUGUCUUCCAUACCUUCGUUGGUACCUCUUCAGCUGAACAAACUUUUAAUCUCAAGCACAGAAGAUGGGCCAGGGAGAAUGGAGGAGAUUUUUUCGUCUCCCUCACAUGCUCAGCAAAACCCUCAGAGCAUUAUGCUCUGCCGCAGCACCAAAUAUCUUAUAUGCCUGCGUACAAUCCUUAAAUUUGAAGCCUAUGUGAAGCAGCUUAUACAUCAGUGUGAAAGCCUCUCUCUUACACACAGGGCACGAUGAAGCCCAAAUCAAGAAGGAAAAUUGUGAGGCUGUGGCCCACUUACGGUGCGUUAUAAGCUUGGUGGUAUCCAAUUUGCCCGCUGUGAAAAGCUUCAACAACAUUGGAGUGGUGACCGCGUCCACGAGUCGCGUGGUGAUACCUACUCGAUGCAGAAUGAUAUGGCUGAGCAAUCGCCCACAUGGGGACUUCAAGUGGUGGAUAUGGGCGGGGUGUAUACUCACAGAUGUUCCGAUUCCACAACUUGUCCAUAUACAACUCCACCUUCGUCCCAUGGACGCCCACAUUGGCAAUAGAACCGCCAGGGGCAACAAGACUCUGGCAAAACUGAAAGGUGUGAGGAGUACCCACCGCUUCAACAACACAAUCAAACCCCUCUCCAUUCGUCAUCUUCAACAACUUGUCCAUCGCCUCCUCGGAGUUCCGACUAUUAACCGUCGCAUGCGCCCCUAGUUGCUUCGCCAUCGACAGCCUCCCAUCAUCCAAAUCCACUAUCACAAGCAACGACGGCGAAUACAGCAGAGAUGUCAUCAUGACAGACAUCCCCACCGCGCCGGCUCCGAUGAUCACCACCGUGCUGCCUGGCGAAACUUUCCCAUCCAGCGUCCCACACUCCAAUCCUGUCGGGAGCGCAUCGGACAGCAUGACCGCGGCCGUCAAGUCGACCGUGGCGGGCAGCUUGUACAGCGACGAUGACGCAUGUGGGAUGCGCACGAACUCCGCCUGCGUGCCGUCGAUCUGGUUGCCCAGCACCCACCCGCCCGAGACGCAGUGCGAGGGCAUCCCCUUCCGGCAAAAGCUACAAACGCUGCAGGCCGAAAUGCACGAGAUGAGCACGGUGUCGCCCGGCACAAGGCCCUGGACGCUCGAGCCGACUUCGUGGAUCACGCCGACGCCUUCAUGGCCCAGCACACGGCCUGGCGUGGCGGACUGCACGUGGCCCUUGAUGAUGUGCAGGUCCGUGCCGCAGAUAGUGGUGUACUUGAGUUUGACGAUUGCGUCCGUCGCGGACUGGAUGAUUGGCUGCGGGCGCUCUUCGAUGUCGACGACGCCUUCGCUUUUAUAGACGAGAGCCUUCAUACUGGCGUUGCGUGUGGUUGUGAAAGCGGGAUGCCGGAAGCGGGGGAACGGGGAUAGAGACGGCUGUGUAGCUGUCUGCUUCUGGAGUGGGGUUAGACGGAGGGAGGGGCAGGAGGGAGCAAGCAAUCCGUUAUACAAAUGGCGUUUCGGUAACCCUGCGGAUGUCGUAUACUUUCUAAUCCGGAGUCUUGCAGUCAUUGUCGUCAAUGGCGUUUUCGUUUGUAUGGGUGUGGAGGAGCGGCAUGACAUAAAGCCCGGAUAUCUUCUUACUUCAGGGGGAGGAGCUAACACCAAAACCUACAGAAUUGAAGAACAAGGUAAUAUAUAUAUAUUUUUUAUAAGUAACACGGGGUUAGGGAAAACUUUUUUUUUUUUAAAAAACAAAAAAAAAAGAAGAAAAAAAAAAAGAAAAAGAAAAGAUUUUCCCCUCUUUUUUGAUUGGCAAUGGACCAAGAACCGCCAGGAAAAGGGGGUUGUGGGGUUUUUUUUUCACAGUUAACUCCCCAAGACGAGUGUGCCAUGAUUUAAUAACUCGACACUCCAGAAAUUGAUCUCUUUUCCCCCGUAUACCCAGGUUAACAUUUCGACAGACCUGGGGAAAAGCUGUGUGUAUCCACGGAUCACCUGCAACAUGUCUUCGAGAUGGUGAUAUCAUGAACCGUCCCUCCGUUUGCGAAAUUUGCCGCUGCUUGAAAAUAAGAGGGUACCGGUAAUCUUGCUAAAGGGA
rnacentral:sRNA from 1 species